ACAAAAUGUUUCCUACAGCCUUACAAGAACGCGAGGUUUCCUCCGUCGCCUCGCCCCCAGCCCUCUGCACACCCCGCGCCCCCGUCCCUCUACUCGCCGCCGCGCCCCGGUCCCUCUGCUCCGCGGUGCCCAUCCUCGCUCUGCCGUCGCCGAAUCUGGACGAGAUCGGCAGGAUCUGCCGCAUCUCCCGUGACAUCCAACCGCAGCUGCUCGUCGGCCAUGCGGGGAGGACGAACGAGCUGCUCGUCGGCAUCCGUCCCACGGCCCCGCUAAAGAUGGCGCCCAACCCCCUCGACAGCGCAUGCCUCCUACUUGCCGCCUGGGUGCAAACGGCGACAACGAGUAGGCGGCAAGCAUACUACGCCAAGAAGCAAUACAGGGGCAUGAAGCAAGCGAGAAGGUGUGCACGGCGACCUGCUACUGCACUAAUAGUAGCCUUGACGGAGCACCGAGGCCGGCUCGACAGGGCAUGCCGCCUGUCGGUAGACAACUGGUUGUGUGUGACGGAGAUGAACCCCUCGUCGUCGCCUCUAUCGCUGCUAGGGAUGAACCCUGCGUCUGUGCUGGUGAUGGCGCUCUCCAUCUACUUUCUCCACUGGCUAUAAGAGAGUAGAGACCACAUCGUGGAUGUGUUUUUCUUCAGAGAUGUGCCCCGUCGUUCUUCACUGUCGAAUUUGCAAUGCAAUCUGUCCCUAUGUUGGUGUCUUAACAACUUCGUCCUCCCACACAAUGAGAAGAAGAAAGCAGCGGCUGCAAUUUACCUAUUGAUUUCUUGGAGUGAUUCAAACCUAGGAAGUCUGCUACUUGUGCAAGCAACAUGACAGGAGUUACUCCAGGUCAGUAUGUAUACAUACAGAUGCAAGCAAUGGAGAAACUCAUGCAGAUGAUGAUGAAGAAAUUUUCACGAAUUUUCCAACCUGAAUUGGCUACAGAGGUUGGGAAAAGAGGAGUCCAGGCUCUGAUGAACACAUCUUCUUUCGCAGGUACAAAUUCAACUACACCAGGACUAUUUUUUUAUUAGUCCUCGAGUGUUUGUUGGAAUGAGAUGACACAUGGUAUGCCAGGCAACAAGCAACUGAAGCAAGAAGAUUUUUGUAAUUUCUUGGAAUGAGCCCCUGAACCCAGGAUGGCAAAGGAUCCAAUAUGUCAGGACCAAUGAGGAAAUUGCAGAGCUUCAUAUUCAGUUUAUUUUAGGUGCUUGCCUACUUCAAGUGUCUAUAUUACAGGAAACAUGUUUCUUCAAGUGUCUACACACUACAAGACGCCUGCCCUUACCAUUUACCAGGUGGUGACUUGCCGGAGGAGCCGGUGGUGCCGCUGCGAUCUUCUCCGGGCGAUGGUCCAUGAUGCAAGCUAAAACCGGGUGCGCAUGGGGGAGUUGGGGCGAUGGCUCGGUUCAGUGCACGGGAUCGGAUUAACUUUGUUUUCUCAUAGGUACCUGCGUCUGGUAUCGUUUCUCUGUGGGGUUACCAAACGACUCUCUCUUCUUAAUUGAGAUGCCACAUCAGUUUUCAACUUACAUGGCAGGCUUAGAACCAUCCAGGGUGGAGCACUGGGAGCAUCCUUAUAGAAGUAAUGCAAUAUAUUCUCUCUCUUAUUUCUACUUGAAAUACUAUUGUGGGUCUGUACUUUGCCUAUCAUAUUGCAAUGAUAACACAUUGUAUGCCUAUUCUCUUAACUGUAGUAAGGAUGAAGCAGGAAAGUGUGUUGGACCUUCUAACAUGGAUAUUGUACAUGUACGAGCUAUGGGCCACUAUUGUUUAUCA